GAUGAACGCUGGCGGCGUGCCUAAUACAUGCAAGUCGAGCGAACAGACGAGGGGCUUGCUCCUCUGACGUUAGCGGCGGACGGGUGAGUAACACGUGGAUAACCUACCUAUAAGACUGGGAUAACUUCGGGAAACCGGAGCUAAUACCGGAUAAUAUAUUGAACCGCAUGGUUCAAUAGUGAAAGACGGUUUUGCUGUCACUUAUAGAUGGAUCCGCGCCGCAUUAGCUAGUUGGUAAGGUAACGGCUUACCAAGGCGACGAUGCGUAGCCGACCUGAGAGGGUGAUCGGCCACACUGGAACUGAGACACGGUCCAGACUCCUACGGGAGGCAGCAGUAGGGAAUCUUCCGCAAUGGGCGAAAGCUUGACGGAGCAACGCCGCGUGAGUGAUGAAGGUCUUCGGAUCGUAAAGCUCUGUUAUUAGGGAAGAACAAAUGUGUAAGUAACUAUGCACGUCUUGACGGUACCUAAUCAGAAAGCCACGGCUAACUACGUG
rnacentral:rRNA from 1 species